rnacentral:misc_RNA from 1 species
GAUGAAGAACGUAGCGAAAUGCGAUAAGUAAUGUGAAUUGCAGAAUUCAGUGAAUCAUCGAAUCUUUGAACGAACAUUGCGCCCGCCAGUAUUCUGGCGGGCAUGCCUGUUCGAGCGUCAUUUCAACCAUCAAGCCCCAGGCUUGUGUUGGGGACCUGCGGCUGCCGCAGGCCCUGAAAACCAGUGGCGGGCUCGCUGUCACACCGGGCGUAGUAGAUUUUAUCUCGCUCAGGGCGUGCUGCGGGUUCCGGCCGUUAAAAAGCCUUUUUUACCCAAGGUUGACCUCGGAUCAGGUAGGAAGACCCGCUGAACUUAAGCAUAUCAAUAAGCGGAGGA